GAACGCUGGCGGCGUGCUUAACACAUGCAAGUCGAGCGGAAAGGCCCUUCGGGGUACUCGAGCGGCGAACGGGUGAGUAACACGUGAGCAACCUGCCCCUGACUCUGGGAUAAGCCCGGGAAACUGGGUCUAAUACCGGAUAUGACCGCCCCUGGCAUCGGGUGGUGGUGGAAAGUUUUUCGGUUGGGGAUGGGCUCGCGGCCUAUCAGCUUGUUGGUGGGGUAGUGGCCUACCAAGGCGACGACGGGUAGCCGGCCUGAGAGGGCGACCGGCCACACUGGGACUGAGACACGGCCCAGACUCCUACGGGAGGCAGCAGUGGGGAAUAUUGCGCAAUGGGCGGAAGCCUGACGCAGCGACGCCGCGUGGGGGAUGACGGCCUUCGGGUUGUAAACCUCUUUCAGCAGGGACGAAGUUGACGUGUACCUGCAGAAGAAGCGCCGGCUAACUACGUGCCAGCAGCCGCGGUAAUACGUAGGGCGCAAGCGUUGUCCGGAAUUAUUGGGCGUAAAGAGCUCGUAGGUGGCUGG
rnacentral:rRNA from 1 species